AACGUAGGAGGCAAGCGUUAUCCGGAUUUACUGGGCGUAAAGCGCGUGUAGGCGGUUUGGUAAGUUGGAUGUGAAAGCUCCUGGCUCAACUGGGAGAGGUCGUUCAAUACUGCUAAACUUGAGGAUGGUAGAGGGAGGUGGAAUUCCGGGUGUAGUGGUGAAAUGCGUAGAUAUCCGGAGGAACACCAGUGGCGAAAGCGGCCUCCUGGACCAUUUCUGACGCUCAGACGCGAAAGCUAGGGUAGCAAACGGGAUUAGAGACCCCGGUAGUCCUAGCUGUAAACGAUGUAGACUUGGCGUCGGCGGGUUUAAAUCCGUCGGUGCCGCAGCCAACGCGAUAAGUCUACCGCCUGGGGACUACGGCCGCAAGGUUA
rnacentral:rRNA from 1 species